rnacentral:rRNA from 1 species
CAGAGGUCCCAAGCGUUGUUCGGAUUCACUGGGCGUAAAGGGUGCGUAGGUGGUCGGGUAAGUCUGAUGUGAAAUCUCCGAGCUCAACUCGGAAAUGGCAUUGGAUACUAUUCGGCUGGAGGGUUGGAGGGGGGACUGGAAUACUUGGUGUAGCAGUGAAAUGCGUAGAUAUCAAGUGGAACACCAGUGGCGAAGGCGAGUCCCUGGACAACUCCUGACACUGAGGCACGAAAGCUAGGGGGAGCAAACAGGAUUAGAUACCCUGGUAGUCCUAGCUGUAAACGGUGCAUAUUUGCUGUAAAAGGAUCGACCCCUUUGUGGCGUAGCAAACGCGUAAAUAUGCCGCCUGGGAAGUACGGUCGCAAGAUUA